rnacentral:rRNA from 1 species
UAAGGAAUAUUGGACAAUGGAGGCAACUCUGAUCCAGCCAUGCCGCGUGAAGGAAUAAGGCCCUAUGGGUUGUAAACUUCUUUUAGACGGGACAAAACCCCUUUACGUGUAAAGGGUUGAUGGUACUGUCAGAAUAAGCAUCGGCUAACUUCGUGCCAGCAGCCGCGGUAAUACGAAGGAUGCAAGCGUUAUCCGGAAUUAUUGGGUUUAAAGGGUGCGUAGGCGGACUAAUAAGUCAGUGGUGAAAGCCUGCAGCUUAACUGCAGAAUUGCCAUUGAUACUGUUAGUCUUGAGUACAGUUGAGGUAGGCGGAAUGUGUCAUGUAGCGGUGAAAUGCUUAGAUAUGACACAGAACACCGAUUGCGAAGGCAGCCUGCUAAGCUGUAACUGACGCUGAGGCACGAAAGCGUGGGGAGCAAACA